rnacentral:ncRNA from 1 species
CACACGGCUAUGAGAAGAAAUAGUAGCUUAUCUCUUGAGGUCCAAGCGAACCGGCGAUUGGUGCGAGGCCCGGUACUCCGGAAUAAGUGAAUGGAUCUUCUCGCUUCAACCCGAACCUCCGAUCUCUGCCGGAGCAGUAGGCCUUGACGGCUCUCCACCGUUACUUUGGGAGAUAUGGCAGGGAAAAUGGUGCGUUUCCCCAUUUCCGCGUCAUGCUAAAGAGCGACCGUACAGUCGAAUUUGGGUGGUACCGCGAAAGUUACACUUCGUCCCAUAC